UACGUAGGGGGCAAGCGUUGUCCGGAAUUAUUGGGCGUAAAGCGCGUGUAGGCGGCUCGGUAAGUCUGCUGUGAAAGUCCAGGGCUCAACCCUGGAAUGCCGGUGGAUACUGUCGAGCUCGAGUCCGGAAGAGGCGAGUGGAAUUCCUGGUGUAGCGGUGAAAUGCGUAGAUAUCAAGAGGAACACCUGAGGUGAAGACGGGUUGCUGGGCCGACACUGGCGCUGAAGCGCGAAAGCCAGGGGAGCAAACGGG
rnacentral:rRNA from 1 species